GGGUUCAUAGCUUAGUGGUAGAGCAUUUGACUGCAGAUCAAGAGGGUCACCGGUUCGAAUCUGGUUGUGCUCU